rnacentral:ncRNA from 1 species
UCUUAUCAAGAGAGGUGGAGGGAUAUGGCCCUAUGAAACCCAGCAACCUACAGUAAUUAAUUAAAUUUAAUAUGUGUGGUGCUAAUUCCUGUAGUUUAGCUACGAGAUGA